rnacentral:rRNA from 1 species
CCUACGGGGGGCAGCAGUGAGGAAUAUUGGUCAAUGGACGAGAGUCUGAACCAGCCAAGUAGCGUGAAGGAUGACUGCCCUCUGGGUUGUAAACUUCUUUUAUAUGGGAAUAAAAUGUUCCACGUGUGGGAUUUAGUAUGUACCAUAUGAAUAAGGACCGGCUAACUACGUGCCAGCAGCCGCGGUAAUACGGAGGAUCCGAGCGUUAACCGGAUUUUAGGGGUUUAAUGGGAGCGUAGGUGGAUUGUUAAGUCAGUUGUGAAAGUUUGCGGCUCAACCGUAAAAUUGCAGUUGAAACUGGCAGUCUUGAGUACAGUAGAGGUGGGCGGAAUUCGUGGUGUAGCGGUGAAAUGCUUAGAUAUCACGAAGAACUCCGAUUGCGAAGGCAGCUCACUGGACUGCAACUGACACUGAGGCUCGAAAGUGUGGGUAUCAAACAGGAUUAGAUACCCGAGUAGUC